rnacentral:tmRNA from 1 species
AAAAUUGAAUUUCUUAAAAUAAAGUUUUAUAUUAUUGGUGUUGGAUUUCCAACUACGACGAUAAAUGAAUUUCGUAAUAAACAUUGCGGACGUGGGGGCAGUACCCACCACCUCCACCAUUUACAACUUAAGGGGGUGAACUAGGAUCGACGGGUGUCUAAAGGCUAUUCUUUCGUUCGGUAUUGUUCCGCCGUAACGGGCUAAAUUAUAAUUGCAAAUGAUAAAUUUGCUCUAGCUGCUUAAUUUAUAUUAAGAAAGCAGGGUCUGGGGCACCUGGUAACAGAACGCCCCUAUA